rnacentral:piRNA from 1 species
UGGUAGGCUAUUUUGUGGAUUCAGUUGUGU